GGGAAAGAGAGGAUAGGCUGCUUUUGUUUGUCUGUUGUCCCCGUCGUUAGAGCUUUGUGCCCUUUGAGCCAGUUACGUUAUUAGCACUCACAGACAACCGUUGUCUGCCUGGAUUGACACAGCGGUUGAGAAAGAUGCUUUGCUGUGAAAUACCACAACUACUUUGUACACAACAGAGGAAAGUUACAUCAAGAGGAAGUAGAAGAGGGAAAAAAAACUACCCACUGAUUUUUCUGUACUAAUUGCAACUCCUUUUCCAGUUCUAACUUUUUCCUAAUUCUUUUUUUCUCCUGUCCUAAUUCUCCUCUGUCCCUUGCCUUCAAGUCUGCUCUGCUUUCCUCCUAAAAGCCCCUAAAAGCCUUGGUAUGUCUUUCCCCUCUACUUCUUUCCGCAGCGCACACGUGCCACUUCCUCUUCCUCCCUCUCUUAGCCAAGCAUCGAUAGAGGGAGCACUCUGAGCACAUUUCCUGCGUGUGGGGACACACAGACCUCCAGUCAGAGAUGCUCCUGCAUCAAAACUUGUGCUUGGCCCAGUGGUGCGUGUUGGAGGAUGCUCUCUGCAAGGGGAAGCAUGAGGAGUUCAGCUAGUGAACUCCUAUAGCUCUACAAUCCUGUGUCGAAUGAAACAUUUUGCAGUUGAGCUCAGUGAAACUGUGUAAAUUGCACACAGAGAGAGGUGGGUAUGUCUGUGGUUGGUGACUUCUUGGACAAAUUCGAAGUUCCCCCUACAAGGUGUUGGGAAUUUUGGAGCCUUGCUACAAAACAGCUGUAAGACAUUUCGAAAUGGGAAUGACGCGUGGCAUUCAGCAACGUUAUCCUUGAAGACAGUAGUACAGUUUCAGCUGGACACAAGGGAGAGCCUUAUGGAAGAUGAUUACCAUGCGUUUCCUCACUUUGAGCGUUGGUUUUGUUUUUAUUUUGUUUUAAUGAGGUUAUGAGUAGCUACAAAGGGCUCAUAUAGGAAAUCUCAUGUGAAAACCUUUCUCAAACUGUAAAGAGAUCUCAUUUCUUCUCCUUAUAGGAGAUGUGAAUCAUUUCAGUUCUUUUGUUGUUGUCAGCGGGUUCCUUUCUGACAACACUGUUGUGUCAGAGGUGUUCAAGCUCAGAUUUCCAGUUGUUUGGUACCCGUAUUUAUACAGCCUGUUCGAGGUCAGAGUUCAAGUGGAGCUUUCAUAAACUGAUAGAUUAUUUUUGGUAAGCUGUAUGAAUUUUCAUACAAAAGUGGCUGGCAGAAAGCUUUUUUCUUAGAAACCAAGAGAUGCUGGCUUUACAUCAGAACUUUGUCAGAGCUGCCUUCUGCAUGGCUCGAGAUACGGGUGUGAAAUCAAGGAAUAAAAAAAUCCAUAUUUACGUGUGUGUAUUUACAAUUCUGAUGUUACAGUCUUCUUUGUGUGCUCUUCUUCUUGCCCCUUUCAAGUAGCUCGUGUCUUGCAGUGCCCACUGUAACUGUUGCUCAUAUUAACUGUCGCUUUUAGAUCAGAAGGUGUGAUAAAGAAGAGAAUGCUUAAAGUAGAUGCCAUUUCUUGAAACAGGAGAAUUCUUGGUUCCCCUUUGUGCUGGCAAAAGGUGCAUACGUUGAGAGUUACAUUAGAGCUCCAUCUGAAAGACGUCUUUCCUGGCCCACGUAUAAAGAAAUGGGUGUCAGCAUCACGGCACUUCCUUGACAAGCAACAUUAUUUUGGGCGAAGGUUCGUCUAGAGUUGCGCAUCAGGAAUUACGUCUGUGCCGAAAAGGAUAAUGCAACCUAGAAAACUGAGCACUUAUAUGAGGAACAGAUCCCAAGCCUCUAAUUAAUCUGUAGUCUCAACGUAGAGAUGCAUUUUGAGCUCCGCUAUUGAAUUUCAUUAGAAAUAUUGGAGAGGAGGGAAGAGCUGCUCUUUCUUUAUUUCCUCUUUGAUUCUUCAUCCUGCGCAGCUAAAUUGCUUUUGAUGAUUAAAGCUAGCUCGUACCAAAACCAAUGUAAGUCUGUUCAUUUACAUGGAGACCAAAGUCAUCAGUGGCGUGCAGCUGCCUCGGGAGUGAACGCUUGUUCAAAAACCUCAGUAUGGGUUGGUUGCGCGUGUUACAAAUCAAGGCCCAACUUGAUCUGCCAAUAUUUAAUUAGCUUUCAGUAGCCACCCUGCUCGUAUCUACAAACUAAGUGCUCUGUGUCUCAUAAGGAAUGUGUAAGAAGUGAGUGAGUGACCCGCCUUCUCUAAAAACAAACAGGAGAAUAAAAAUCCCUGUCAUA